rnacentral:rRNA from 1 species
UACGUAGGGUGCGAGCGUUGUCCGGAAUUAUUGGGCGUAAAGGGCUCGUAGGCGGUUUGUCGCGUCGGGAGUGAAAUCCACUGGCUUAACUGGUGGCUUGCUUUCGAUACGGGCAGACUGGAGGCAUGCAGGGGGAGAACGGAAUUCCUGGUGUAGCGGUGAAAUGCGCAGAUAUCAGGAGGAACACCGGUGGCGAAGGCGGUUCUCUGGGCAUGUCCUGACGCUGAGGAGCGAAAGUGUGGGGAGCGAACAGG